CUGGGAGAGACCUAGCAGGCAGUGAGGACAGUGGAUGGCAAGGGGCCUCAGAGCUCUGUGACCUCAUAAUUUUCCUGUGGGACCACAAAGGUGGCUUCCACAGUGCAUAGUGGUUAUCAGCUGUGCCUCCCUCUUAGAGGUCCUCGGAGUCCAGAGUCCUCGAAGGGAAAUCUGACACAAAGAAGCAGGUGUGAGACCGGCCCCUUUCUCCCAUGCCUUAGACAGGGCUCCAGGGACUGCUUCAGGGGAGAUGUCAGAGGGCAGCAGGGACCGGGAAGGGAGGAAGAAAGCAGAGUGACAGUGAGAGGUGGGAAAACUACAAGAGGAAUUGUUUGUACGCUUGGAUCUGGACUUUUAGAACUGGUCAGGACCUGACAGAUCCUCCAGCCCAGUUCUCCCGGCUCUCAAACACUGGCAUCAUUUAUAAUUCCCUGGAAAAUCACCAGCAGGUAAAUGAAGGAGAAAAGAAAAGAACAAAAUCCACCGGGAACCAGAGACUUCCAGGCUCCAAAGACAGGCAAUCUCCACCAGGAAAAAAUAAUUCUGGAAGUGAGUCUGCCAUUGCUGGGCAGGAACCCAGACUCCUGCUAGCUCAGUGCUCUGUCUUCCUUAGCUUUUUGUUCCUUGGACUUAAGGUCCAAGAUGGCUGCUGAGGUUCCAGCCAUCACACUAAAAUUGCAUCCGACUGAAAGAGGAAAGGAAGAAGAAAGUGCCCUGGCUCACCUUUUUGGAGACUUCCUGAAGGGUCUUGCUAUGUUGUUCCAGCUGGUCUCAAACUUCUGGCCUCAAGCCAUCCUCCCU
rnacentral:lncRNA from 1 species